GGCUUGUUGGCGAUGUGGUCAGUGCGUUUGACUCUUACCUGGGAGUCUGGGGUUCAAUUCCCCAUCCAGGCCC